GGCUUCGUAGCUCAUCUGGUAGAGCGCUUGUGACUUUGGGGGCAUUGUGUUUCUGUUGCUGGUUCGAAUCCAGCCGAAGCCG